GUGGCACAAAUGUCCAUCUUCCCCUUUCCCCACUCCCUCACUCCUCUACCCUCCACCUUAUGUUAGACCAUCUAUUGCCUUCAUAUUAGAAUUGAGUACACUGGAUUCUUGCUUCUCCAUUCUUGGGAUGCUUUACUAAGAAGAAGGUAUUCCACCUCCAUCCAGGUUAAUACAAAAGAUGUAAAUUCACCAUCUUUUUAAUGGCUGAAUAGUAUUCCAUAAUAUAUGUAUACCACAACUUAUUAAUCCAUUCCUGGGUUGCUGGGCAUUUAGGUUGUUUCCACAUUUUGGCAUUUGUAAAUUGAGCUGCCAUAAACAGUCUAGUGCAAGUGUCCUUAUGAUAAAAGGAUUCUUUUUCUUUUGGGUGGAUGCCUAGUAAUGGGAUUGAUUGCAGGAUCAAAUGGGAGGUCUAAUUUGAGUUCUUCGAGGAUUCUCCAUACUUCCUUCCAAAAGGGUUGUAUUACUUUGCAGUCCCACCAGCAGUGUAAAAGUGUUCCCUUCUCUCUACAACCAUGCCAGCAUCUGAAGCUUUGAGACUUUGUGAUGUUGGCCAUUCUCACUGGGGUUAGGUGACAUCUCAGGGUAGUUUUGAUUUACAUUUCUCUGAUGAUUAGGGACAAUGAGCAUUUUUUCAGAUGUUUGUUAACCAUUUGUCUGCCCCCUUUAGAGAAGGUUCUAUUCAUGUCUCUUGCUACUUAAAUUUUUUAAAUUCUUUUAUUUAUGCUUAUGUGUUAAAACUGUAAUCCUAAAAAGCAAUAACGAUGUCUACAUGCAAAAUAAUAUAUUAGAAUAUGAUAAUGGGUUUUGUUGAACUUAUGUUGAACUAGCAACAGAAGCAUUUUUGGCCAAUGAAAAGUGACAUAUUUUUCUUUGAACAUUUUAGGUGGGAGCUAGCAAUCUAGCUGAUAUUUUUAUAAAAAUUAUUGGAAAAUCCCUUGGGAAAAUGUCAAAAUAGUUUUUGUACAAUCCCAACUUUAAGUUUUGAAUUUGGAUUAAAAAAUUAUAAUGAAAAAUCUGAAAGUUUUGGGGGGAUAAGUGGGUUUGCAUUAUACAUGGGAACGUUAUACAUGGCAAAAUACAGUAAUUACAAAACACGUAGAAAUAAGUUAAACAUAAUCACUAUAAAAUACCCAACAAUAUAGAAAAAUAAAAAGUCUAUCAUUCCUCAAGUAAUCCCAUGAAUAGCUUCAGGAGUAUCCUUCUCUUGUGCUAUGUAUGUCAAAGCUGAGGCAUUGAUUCCUAUUGCUAGUUUCAGUUUUGGCUUUCUUUAUGCCUGUUUCUGUCUGUGUGCAGUGGUAUAAAAAAGGACAUUUCAAAUACAGUAAAACAAAACCAAAGUUUGAGGAGAGAAAAAUAUAACAUCUGUGACUUGCUCUUAGGUGAAUUAGCUGGAGCGAUAGAUAUGUGAUGGUGAGAAGGCAUAGCAGCUCGGGAGGGUCAUGUACAUAGGCUAAGGAGAUUAUAAUAUAUCCUGAAAACUAUAGGGACUAAAAAAACAAUUUUAAGUAGUGGAAUCCUUUUUAUAUUUCAGGAAGAUCACACUAACCACUGCAUGGAGACUGGAAUGAGAGUGGGAAACAAGCUUAGAAAACUUCUCAGCCACCAAAGAAAAGAAGUAAAUUUCAAUAUCCUCGGCAGAGGCAGGUGAAGAAGAUGAUGGAAUGGAUGUCUCAGAGAAUAGAGCCAGGAAGUUUAGGUACAGUUGAAGUCUGGACUUGGUGCAGACCUUGGGGAAAGAAACCCGUGAAAGCAAGACCAGAUUUUGAAGAUAGAAGGCUGGUUGAAGAGGAUGAAAGUCACAGAUGAAACAAGGCCCAGAGCCCAGACAUAUUCUCGUGGAGUAGCAGAUGAACAGAGCAGAGAGCCAACCCCAUGAAGCAGUGUUUUCCUAGCUUCAUAUUGCAUCAAGAUUGCUAAAAUCUCUUUGACCAAAUCAAGUUGCAGAGCUGACCUCAGAAUCAGAUGGAGAAGCACUGCCAAAGGACAUGGAUAAAUAUGAUCUAUCUAUAUAUGCUGAUUGGAAAAGAAGAUAAAAUUUCAAUAAGAAAAUGCAAAUCAUCUGCAUUCCUAUGAACUACAGGGUCAUUGCUGAUAUUUAAACAAUCCUUACAACCUAUUUCCAAGUAAAUUCUGUGUGUACUUAUAAAUGCACACAUGAAAUAAUAGCAAUCACAUAAUUGUUUACAUUGCUUUUUUCUCGUAACUAUAUAUUGUGAAUAUAUUUCCAUGACAUAAAAUAUUGUCUAUGGCAUGAUUUUAUGGUGAAAGUACAACAAUUUAUGUUAGUGUUUAUAUAAUAUUUAUUUUAGAUAACAUUGUGGUUUUAAGAAAAGUCCUAAACAGAAUAGGCUCAAGAGAGGACAAGGCUGAUUGGCCAAAACUCAUAAGGAAUGAUAUUUCUGAUAGCAGUUGUUCCUUGGACUUCAAUCGUCAUGCUCUGACCCUUGUUAACAAACAUGUAUUUUUAUAGUUAACUUUCUUAACAGCUCUAUUAACUAGAUAUACUAUACUAUAGCAUCAAAGAAUUAGAAUUUGGACUUUUAAUCACUACAACAUGAUUUUUAAUGAUUGCCUAAUUUUCAUAUUUAUGUUUCAAAAGUGAACAUCUUGAUGGACAUUUGUUUCAAUGUUUUCUCAAUUGUAAACCAAUCUGCCAUGAACAUCUUUAUCAUUCAAUCUUUGUAUGCAUUUGUAUUUUUCAAGUAAUUCCUAGAAAAGGAAUUAAUGGGUCAAA